rnacentral:rRNA from 1 species
UGGGGGAUAACGCAUCGAAAGGUGUGCUAAUACCGCAUAAUCUMUACGGAGAAAAGCAGGGGAUCGCAAGACCUUGCGCUCUUGGAGCGGCCGAUGUCUGAUUAGCUAGUUGGUGAGGUAAAGGCUUACCAAGGCGACGAUCAGUAGCUGGUCUGAGAGGACGGCCAGCCACACUGGGWCUGAGACACGGCCCAGACUCCUACGGGAGGCAGCAGUGGGGAAUUUUGGACAAUGGGGGAAACCCUGAUCCAGCCAUGCCGCGUGAGUGAAGAAGGCCUUCGGGUUGUAAAGCUCUUUCAGCCGGAACGAAACGGUCACGGCUAAUACCUGUGACUACUGACGGUACCGGAAGAAGAAGCACCGGCUAACUACGUGCCAGCAGCCGCGGUAAUACGUAGGGUGCAAGCGUUAAUCGGAAUUACUGGGCGUAAAGCGUGCGCAGGUGGUUUUGUAAGUCAGAUGUGAAAUCCCCGGGCUUAACCUGGGAACUGCGUUUGAAACUACAAGGCUAGAGUGUAGCAGAGGGGGGUGGAAUUCCACGUGUAGCAGUGAAAUGCGUAGAGAUGUGGAGGAACMCCGAUGGCGAAGGCAGCCCCCCUGGGUUAACACUGACGCUCAGGCACGAAAGCGUGGGGAGCAAACAGGAUUARAUACCCUGGUAGUCCACSCCCUAAACGAUGUCAACUAGUUGUCGGGUCUUAACGGACUUGGUAACGCAGCUAACGCGUGAAGUUGACCGCCUGGGGAGUACGGUCGCWAGAUUAAAACUCAAAGGAAUUGACGGGGACCCGCACAAGCGGUGGAUUAUGUGGAUUAAUUCGAUGCAACGCGAAAAACCUUACCUACCCUUGACAUGUACCGAAGCCCGCUGAGAGGUGGGUGCGCCCGAAAGGGAGCGGUAACACAGGUGCUGCAUGGCUGUCGUCAGCUCGUGUCGUGAGAUGUUGGGUUAAGUCCCGCAACGAGCGCAACCCUUGUCAUUAAUUGCCAUCAUUCAGUUGGGCACUUUAAUGAGACUGCCGGUGACUAACCGGAGGAAGGUGGGGAUGACGUCAAGUCCUCAUGGCCCUUAUGGGUAGGGCUUCACACGUAAUACAAUGGCGCGUACAGAGGGUUGCCAACCCGCGAGGGGGAGCUAAUCUCAGAAAGCGCGUCGUAGUCCGGAUCGGAGUCU